rnacentral:rRNA from 1 species
CCUACGGGUGGCAGCAGUGGGGAAUAUUGCGCAAUGGGCGAAAGCCUGACGCAGCGACGCCGCGUGAGGGAUGAAUGUCUUCGGAUUGUAAACCUUCGUCAGUAGGGAAGAACGGUCACUGUGCUAAUCAGUAGUGAAUUGACGGUACCUGCAAAGGACGCACCGGCUAACUCCGUGCCAACAGCCGCGGUAAUACGGAGGGUGCGAGCGUUAAUCGGAAUUACUGGGCGUAAAGCGCUCGUAGGCGGUAGGUCAAGUCAAGGGUGAAAUCCCCGGGCUCAACGUGGGAACUGCCUUUGAAACUGGCAAACUGGAGUGUGUGAGAGGAUAGUGGAAUUCCAGGUGUAGGAGUGAAAUGCGUAGAUAUCUGGAGGAACAUCAGUGGCGAAGGCGACUAUCUGGCACAUAACUGACGCUGAGGAGCGAAAGCGUGGGUAGCAAACAGGAUUAGAUACCCCAGUAGUC